AAACAAAUGUGUUUUAAGCUGCUAAAGACAUAUGAUUCAAACGCUCAGAAAGUCUUUUGUUCUAUAUUUUUGCUCUCCAUUUUUAUGCAAAACCUUUUACAUUUUUAUUUUAUGGGUUAUUGUUGAAGGUCGUACGAUGACGUAUGAUUGUUAACACAUACUUCCUUUGGUUUCUUAUGGAAAGUCCAUUGACAACAAACAUACCACAUCAUCUACUUUAUAUAAGUAUUGUAUAAAUUACAACGUAUUUUGGUGAUCUUGCAAAAUGAUCGUAAUCCCGAAAAUCGUAAACAUAUUUUCUUAUCUUAAAAGGGGGCAAGAAGGGUUCCAUUAACAGGCCAAUAAAUAAGAUUACAGUUAAUUUAAAAAAAAAAAAUAAAAAAAAUAGGGGUAUUUUUUCUCUCAUAAUAACAGUAAACAGAUUCACAACAAUGUCAAUUUCAAGAAAGCAGACAACAGUUAAUUAGUCAAUAACAGUACAGCAUCAAUGAUCUUGAAUAUAUGACACUUUUAACUAAAAUAUAAAGGCACAGAACCAGGACAUAGGAGCACAGAACCAGGACCGUUUUUCUUAUCACCAGCACAGCGUCAGGACAAUUCCGUUUAACGAACUUGCACGACUUUUGCAAUAUAAUAUUGUUGUAUAUAUACUUUGCAUGGUACUUAUGACGCAUCAGAGAAAAAUUAAGCAACAAAACUGUCGUUUUAUUGCCGUUCUGAUACAAUGUAAACAAACCCACCAGCACAGAAUCAGGACCCACCAGCACCUGACAGGACCAAAUCACCAGCACAGAACGUUCUCUCGCAGGACAACCAUACCCACCG
rnacentral:lncRNA from 1 species